UCUUUUUUCUCGACCCAAACCCGCCUCCCUCCCCAAAAUCAUCGAUCCCAGAUUCCAGCCCCUAAAAUCAUCAAAACCAUGGACAAAUCUCUUGCAGUACGACAUAUCCCAAAUCCCCAGCCUUAUUUCUCCACAAUUUUGACUGAUUAACCUUUGUUGUUUCAAAAUCCCCAAACCAUCGAAACCCUAAUUCUGGAAAAGUGUUACUUCCUUCACCGAAAGGUCAAGAAGGUCAAGCUCACCGUCCUCCAGUUCUACAAGGUCGACGACUUCCGGCAAGGUGCAGAAGCUGAGGAAGGAGUGAAAGAGAAGGCAGAGGGUAGUUUUGGAGCUAAAAAGUACUAUUGCAGAUUUGCAGGUGAGAAUCACUUAUUCUCCUUCAAUUGAGUUAAUAUUUUGUUUCUUGUAUUUUGUUUCUUGUUUAGCUUUAGGUUAGCUAUAACUUGAAUAAACUGGUAUAUGAUUUGUGCCUUUUGUGGUGGUGUUGACUGUUGAGGACUAUAUAGUUUGAGACAAACUUGUAUGUUUUUGAUAGGCAGUGUUACAAAUUAUACAAAUGAAUUAAGCAGCUGCUCAUUAAAAUAGUUACGCAGAGAAACCUUGACAUUAUAGUAAGCAAUAUUGCAAAGGAAAAGUGAGGUAGUAAGUGGACAAUCCUGGUUCUUUAUCUUCUCCGUUUGUAAUCCAAAAGUAUUAUGAAAAAGGGAUCUUUAAAGCAGCUCAAAUAUUAUCACUAACUGCUUCUACAAGGAACCAACUGUGGCUGAGCUGGAGCAGUAUCGCGAGCUAGAAGCAAUGGAGAGAGAAACUGCUGGACUUAGAUUGGAUGAACCAAGCUCUUCUACGACCACUGCUGCAACAUAAAGAUGUUUAGCGGCAUCCCCAUACUGGAGAAGAUGAGGUGAUGGCUGAUCGGAACAUUAAACCAACCUAACUUGUGUUUUUUU